UAUGGCCACAUCACUUUGAAAGACCGGUUCCGGUACGAUAACCAAAGUUAAACAACGUCGAGCCUGGUCAGUAUUUAGAUGGGUGACCGCUGGGGAUAUCAGGUGCGGUAA